AUUGAACGCUGGCGGCAUGCCUUACACAUGCAAGUCGAACGGCAUCGCGGGAAAGCUUGCUUUCUUGGCGGGGCGAGUGGCACGCGGGUGUAACACACAUGAACAUCUCGGUUUGCGGGGGAUAUACCGUCGAAAGACUGACGCUAACACCACAUACUCUUCGCGGGUGAGCACAGGAGCUCUUGGCCUUUCGCGCGCUGAGCUGCGCCGAUGUCAGAUUAGCUAGUUGGUGGGGUAAAGGCCCACCAAGGCGACGAUGCGUAGCGGGUCUGAGAGGACGAUCAGCCACACUGGGACUGAGACACGGCCCAGACUCCUACGGGAGGCAGCAGUGGGGAAUCUUGGACAAUGGGGGCAAGCCUGAUCCAGCAAUGCCGCGUGGGUGAAGAAGGCCUUCGGGUUGUAAAGCCCUUUUGGCAGGGAAGAAAACGGCGGGGCUAAUACCCCGGCGGGAUGACGGUACCUGAAGAAGAAGCACCGGCUAACUACGUG
rnacentral:rRNA from 1 species